AAAUGAAUCAAAAACUUUCAACAACGGAUCUCUUGGUUCUGGCAUCGAUGAAGAACGCAGCGAAAUGCGAUAAGUAAUGUGAAUUGCAGAAUUCAGUGAAUCAUCGAAUCUUUGAACGCACAUUGCGCCCGCCAGUAUUCUGGCGGGCAUGCCUGUUCGAGCGUCAUUUCAACCCUC
rnacentral:rRNA from 1 species